rnacentral:lncRNA from 1 species
GUGGAACUUGUUCAGUUUAUGUGUCAGAUAUUGAAUCUUAUGUUCAUACAAAUAUUUACACGUUAAGUUGGCUGAAAAUGCAGUUGACAGUGAGAGGACGUUUCUUUUUUUGCAGAGUUUAUAUUAUUAUUGUUUAAACCUGAGACGUGACGGUGUGCGUCUGAGUGACGAAGGGAGACGGAGGGGGAGUGAGAUAGCAACCAAAUCGGCUCAUGUUGACUCUUGGACCGUAACUGAGAACACCCUGGCCUGAUUCCUAGACGUGCCUGGGCCAAUCACACCUGGCCUCCUUCUACCUGCCUGUUGGUGUCCUGAUUCCUAGACGUGCCUGGGCCAAUUUCACCUGGCCUCCUUCUACCUGCCUGUUGGUGUCCUGAUUCCUAGACGUCCCUGGGCCAAUCUCACCUGGCCUCCUUCUACCUGCCU